rnacentral:rRNA from 1 species
UACGGAGGGAGCGAGCGUUGUUCGGAAUUACUGGGCGUAAAGGGUGCGCAGGCGGCUAUGUAAGUCGGAAGUGAAAUCCCAGGGCUUAACCCUGGAAUUGCUUUCGAAACUAUAUAGCUAGAGUCUCGGAGAGGUUAGCGGAAUUCCCAGUGUAGAGGUGAAAUUCGUAGAUAUUGGGAGGAACACCAGUGGCGUAAGCGGCUAACUAGACGAGUACUGACGCUCAGGCACGAAAGCGUGGGGAUCAAACAGG